UACGUAGGGUGCAAGCGUUAAUCGGAAUUACUGGGCGUAAAGCGCACGUAGGCGGAUUGCUAAGUCAGGGGUGAAAUCCCGGAGCUCAACUCCGGAACUGCCUUUGAUACUGGGGAGCUUGAGUCCGGGAGAGGUGAGUGGAACUGCGAGUGUAGAGGUGAAAUUCGUAGAGAUGUGGAGGAACACCAGUGGCGAAGGCGACUCUUUGGCCUGUAACUGACACUGAGGCGCGAAAGCGUGGGGAGCAAACAGG
rnacentral:rRNA from 1 species